AUCAUUCAAUUCAAUAUUUUCUUGUCAUUUGUAGUCAAUACCAGAAUACAAACGCAGUUAUAAUAAACGGUUUAUGUUUGAGUCAAAAUAACCGCGCUUAGUUUUCAUCAUGUAUCAAGUGUGUAUUGUUCGUAAAAACUUUAUUUUUAAGUAAAUAAUUCUUCAAAAUAUUGACAUUAAUAGAUUAAGUGCUUAAAUUUUUACUUCAUAUUUAUAUAUCAGUACAUAUGUGGUCUUCGAUUAAAACAAUUAAUAUAUUGGCUGUUUUAAUGGAUAAAGAUUUUGAAGUGUCAAAAAUUUUAAAAUAAUAUUGAAAAAAUGGUAAGCAAAUUACCACAAGAAUUUAGAAGAUAUUUACGUAAUCGAAAUCAAUUACAACAUGUUCUUGAAGAAACUCAACAAGCAUUAGAACUUAUUAACCUAGAAAACUUCUUUCCUGAAGAAAAUGUUGUGGAAGAAUUAUUACCUCCUUUAACAUUAAACAGAAUCACACAUAUUUUAGCAAAUUCUCCAGCUAUUAUAAUUCUUGGACAAGAUAGCAAGGCAAAAGCAAUAGUAGUUAAUACAUUAAUAUCUAAUGAUAUUUUACCAGUAUGUAAUGGAUUAUGGCGAUGGAUUAGACUUACUUAUGGUCAAACAAAUCACAUUAGUCUCACAUUAGAUCUAGAAUAUGAAUUAGUUGAAAAUUUACAAGCAAAUGAAAAACCUUGGAGUACUCUUCCAAUUGAGGAUUUAACAAAGUCUGAUAAUGAAGAUAUAACUUAUCCAACUGUGCUUGAAGUUCAGCUUAAUCUGCCUAUAUUAAAAGAUGGUGUUCAAAUUUUUAUUGCUCCAAAUAAUGGGGCAGUAAAAGUUCUUGCAAAUGAAUUCUUAUCUAUUUUACCAAUAUUUUUAUAUGCACUUGGUGAACAACCUUUAACAGAACAAAAUUUAGAAGAAUUAAGAGAUUUAAAAGAAACAUAUCCUUUUAAUCCUGUACUUUUUAUCUCAUCCUUGGAAAAUAUAUCAUUGAAUGGUAUUGAUCCUGAAUUGACAGAAUCUGAACAACAUAGACUUCAAAAUCGACUGUAUACUAAUGAUUCUACAUCAAGUAAAACUAAUGAUGAUAGUAUUGAUUUUGACAGAAUGAAUUCACUUGGAUUAUCAUGGUUAGAUCAACUAACAAAUUUAGGUUUUCUUGGAAUGAAAGAAUCUGUUGAAGUUGAUCAAUUAUCUUGGCUAGGUGGUGGACAAUAUAUAAGUGACUUUGUGGGUUCAUGUAGAAAAACAGAUCAAAUUUUAUAUUUUAUUCGUGGAUGUUUGCAAACUUAUCUUAUUAAUGCUAGCACUUAUUUAAAUGAAGUACAUACAGCAAGCUUAAGAAAAUUCAUUUUAAGUGCUUUUGAUAUGGCACGUAUAAUUCAAAUAACUCCUAAAAGAAUACAAUAUGCUCAACAUAAAGAAAAUGAAUUGUAUGCCAAUCUAAUGAAAAUUGUUCAUGAAAAACAACAAGAAAUAACUGGAUUAAUACAAAACAUUAUUCAAGAAAUGAAAAAUGAUGUUUUAUUAUCUAAUAAUGAUGUUUAUUUGUAUCAAAACACCAUGUCUAAUAAUAAUCAAAGGACAGAGUGGUCUGCAACUGUUAAAGCUGCAAUUUCUGAAGUUCAGAGAGUAGUGCUUGGUCGUCUAUGCGAAAAAGUCGCAAAACAACUUGUAAAUUCCGUGAAUUGUUUGCGUGAGAGUUUUAUUGGUACAUUACAGCGUUGUUUAUUAAGUCUUGAAAAAACAUAUGAACGCGAUACUUGUUUAUUAGCAAGUGAUGCUUUGAAACAAAUACUCUCAGCUGCAUAUAAUGUUGAAUUACAUAAUUCUUCACCAUUUUCAAUAUAUUCAUUUUUAGAAAGAUUAAAUUUAAUUUUUAUGUCUUCAUCUUUGCAAUGGUCAUCAACUCACACCUUAGAUGUAGCUUGGAGAAGAAAAGUGACAAUAGAAAUACUAAAUUCUUUAUCUGCAACAAAACUAUCCAAAAUAAUAUUGAUGCAAUUUGGAGAUAAACUUGAAUCAUCACAUGAUUCAUUUCAAGCAGCUCUCAGAUCUAUAGAAAAUUAUUAUUCUGGAAAAUUAGAAAGAACAGAAGAACAAAGAAUAGCUCUUAGAAAAUAUCAUGCUCCUAGAUUAGCUAAAUUAGCAUUAGAAUCAACUUCAAUGAUAGAUGUUGUUCGUUAUGGAAAACCUCAUUGUGCUGAAGAAAUUGGCCGUGGCCAAUAUGGAAUUGUAUUUGCUUGUGAUGGUUGGGGUGGUAAAGCUGGUCCUUGUGCAAUUAAAUCAGUUGUUCCAUCAGAUGAAAGCCAUUGGAAUGAUCUGGCUAUGGAAUUUUAUUAUAAUAGAUCUAUUCCUGAUCAUAAAAGAAUAGUAAAACUUAGAGGAUCAAUUAUCGAUCAUUCUUAUGGUGGAGGAUUUGGAUUUGGAUCUGCUGUUCUUUUGAUAUCAGAUCGUUUAAGUCGUGAUUUAUAUUGCGGAAUACGUGCCGGCUUAUCGUGGUUAGAACGUAUACAAAUAGCAUUAGAUGUGUUAGAAGGAAUACGUUAUCUUCAUUCUCAAGGACUUGUACAUCGAGAUGUUAAAUUGAAAAACGUCCUUCUUGAUAUUGAAAAUAGAGCGAAAUUAACUGAUUUUGGAUUUUGCAUCACAGAAGUUAUGAUGUUAGGAAGCAUUGUGGGAACACCUGUCCAUAUGGCACCAGAAUUACUUUCUGGUCAUUAUGAUAGUAGUGUUGAUGUAUAUGCAUUUGGGAUUUUAUUUUGGUAUUUAUGCGCAGGACAUGUAAGAUUACCAUACACUUUUGAACAAUUCCAUAAUAAAGAACUAUUAUGGACCAGUGUGAAAAAAGGUAUACGUCCAGAAAGAUUACCUUCUUUUGAUGAUGAAUGUUGGAGAUUAAUGGAACAAUGUUGGUCUGGAGAACCAUCUAAACGUCCUUUACUUGGAGCUAUUGUACCAGUAUUAGAAUCUAUUCAACAAAAAGCAAAAAGAAGCAAAUCCUUACAAGAGGUCUCCUCAGAUAAAUUACAAGAAAGUUCAACAACAGAUUCAAGAAAUCCUGCAUUAGCACUAGCAGAACCUUAUAAUCAAAGAGAUGACAAAUUCUUCAAAACAAAAUCUACAUAAACCUUUAAAUGGAAUUUCAAAAUGUGAUAAUGUUUAAAUACUUUUAUCAUUUGACAAGAAAUAUUGUUUUUAUCUUUUGGAUUAUAGUAUACAUAGAUUCUCAAUUAGCAACAGCUAUUAAAUCAAACAAUUAUAUAUUUUAAAACUAGUGGAAGCAUUUCUCUAAGAUUAUUAAAGACGCCAUGAUAAUCAAUGAGCCAAAUCGAUGUAUGCAGUAAAGCAGGUACAAUACAUACAUCUUUGGAUUUUUGUUAAUCGAGCUACGUUUGCUCUGGUUGACGACAGUCAAACAUUUGACAAAAGGGAACUGGAGUUAGGUGAUUCGAUUAAAUAACUAACAAGAAGAAGGAAAGAACAAUAGCUAUAAACUCGAGAAAAGGGAACAAGACAUUACACAGUAUCCCAGCUGAACAUCAGUUCAAGCAGAAAAUUCGCAUAAGCAGCAGCUUUUUAAAAAGUGGGUUUGUUUUUCAUCGAGAGGCGAGAAGACUGAAAGGGUUUAAUUAAAUGAUACGCUAGCGCGUUCCCGCCGACAAAGAACGUAUCAAACGCGUGUACGAGAUGAAAUUCUAUGGAAAAGAAGAAACAGAGGCGAAUAGAAAAGAUGAAACACGUCCGCAGAUACAAAUAUGGGACGAUCCACUUUUGGACAGUGUACUCAGCUUUGCUCGCGAUACACGGAAACUUAUUACUAUAGAGAUCCACGUUACUUAUCGUGGCGGAUGUAUUAUCCCCGCGGCUUCGUGUCACAGAAGAAAGAAAAGAAAAAAGGGAAGAAAGAACAGGCAGGUCGUACAGAGAAGAAAGAAACGGAUAAAUUUUGGGCAAGCUUGGAUAAAUCGCGAUUGUCUGACAGGAUCAGACCGAUCGUUAAAACACGAGGGAUCCAAUCCUUUUUUAAAAUCCAUUUUUAAAAAAUGGCGCGUUUCACUAGCGCGUUCCGAGAAGUUUCUAAAUGCGGUGCACGAUGCUAACGAUGCUCGUCUCCACUCGGAAAAGUAUCCUAGGAGCCUACCUCGAGUCGUCGCGUAAUUUCCACCGCUGAACGUGUACGCCGACGCGUAAUAAACGACAAAAAGAAAGAAAAAAAAAAAAUAA